UACGUAGGGCGCAAGCGUUGUCCGGAAUUAUUGGGCGUAAAGAGCUCGUAGGCGGCUUGUCACGUCGGGUGUGAAGGCCCGGGGCUUAACCCCGGGUCUGCAUUCGAUACGGGCUAGCUAGAGUGUGGUAGGGGAGAUCGGAAUUCCUGGUGUAGCGGUGAAAUGCGCAGAUAUCAGGAGGAACACCGAUGGCGAAGGCAGAUCUCUGGGCCAUUACUGACGCUGAGGAGCGAAAGCGUGGGGAGCGAACAGG
rnacentral:rRNA from 1 species